rnacentral:rRNA from 1 species
CCUACGGGAGGCAGCAGUAGGGAAUAUUGGUCAAUGGACGGAAGUCUGAACCAGCCAUGCCGCGUGCAGGAUGACGGCCCUCUGGGUUGUAAACUGCUUUUGUACGGGAAGAAACCCCUUCUGUUGGAGGGCUGACGGUACCGUAAGAAUAAGGAUCGGCUAACUACGUGCCAGCAGCCGCGGUAAUACGUAGGAUCCAAGCGUUGUCCGGAUUUAUUGGGUCUAAAGGGUGCGCAGGCGGCCUUAUAAGUCAGUGGUGAAAGCCUACCGCUUAACGGUAGAACUGCCAUUGAUACUGUUUGGCUUGAGUAUAGUUGAGGUUGGCGGAAUGUAUCACGUAGCGGUGAAAUGCAUAKAUAUGAUACAGAACACCGAUUGCGAAGGCAGCCGACUAAGCUAUUACUGACGCUCAUGCACGAAAGCGUGGGGAUCAAACAGGAUCAGAUACCCUGGUAGUCCACGCUGUAAACGUUGAUAACUCGAUGUUGGCGAUAUACUGUCGGCNUNUUAGCGAAAGCGUUAAGUUAUCCACCUGGGGAGUACGCUCGCAAGAGUGAAACUCAAAUGAAUUGACGG